CAGGCCGAAGUGCAGGGGCACAGUCUUGCCUCACUGCAACCUCUGCCUCCCAGGUGCAAGUGAUUCUCAAGCCUCAGCCUCCCAAAUGGCUGGGAUUACAGGCAACCACAUUAUUGUUGAAACAAGACUACAAAGAAGGAGAAAUGAUGUUGAAGUCAGCACUGGCUUUAGCUAUCAAAGUGCUAAAUAAGACCAUGGAUGUUAGUUAACUGUUUGCUGAGAAAGUGGAAAUUGCAACACUAACAAGAAAGAAUGAAAAGAUGGUAAUCAGAAGUUCUCAAACAAAAAGAAGUUGAACAGUUGAUCAAAAAACAUGAGGAAGAAGAAGCUAAAGCUGGGCCUGAGAAGAAAGAAAAAGAACAGAAAGAAAAGGAUAAAUAGACAAAAUCAGAGAUUCGGUUACUCAUUUGGGGCACCGUUUCUGUGUAAAAGCUGUCCUGCUCUUCCAAACUAAGAAGGCUUUGACUUUUUUUAACUGGUACAGUGGGAAACUAGGACAUUACAUACUGAAUUGGGUCUUUAUCAUUACUGUUUAAAUACUUUAUUGUAAUGAUGAGGGUCACUUUCUGUGGACAUCUUAAUCUUCCACACACAUCCCCCUUUUUUGGAAUAAAAUUUGGAAAAUAGAAAUGAAGGAAUAAAUUCUUCUGUAGCAGCAAUUGUUACAUAUACAAAACUGACAGGGCGAGUAUCUUCUUUUCGUGCUUUACGCACACUGUGGCUUACACUCCUUUCCCGAAAGGGCACAUUCGUCAGGCUGGCCAGAUUAUUCAUCUCUGUCUCCAGGGAUUGGUUUGAGGAUGAACACGUGGGCUGAGCAAAGCCAGGAUUGAUGUGUGGAUAUGAGGAUCUCGCAGCUAGGACUGAGGCUGCCCACCAAGCUGCAUGGAAGAUGAGGUGUAGGAGAAGUUAAGACCACAGAGGAAAAGUGAAACCAAGAGAUGAGAACCAUUACUGUUGGCUGAAGAGAGCUCCGUUGCUGGGUUUUUUUUCAACAUGAGUUCCCUUGGGAUUCUGUGGCUUCGUGAUAGAAGUGAUACAGGGCAGUGCUACUUAACAUGUAGCCAUAGUGCUCGAGCAUCACCUGCACAGAUUCUGGUGUCCCAUCUGAGAUCUGCGUUAAUACCUCUGAGGGUGGAA